UACGGAGGGGGCUAGCGUUGUUCGGAAUUACUGGGCGUAAAGCGCGCGUAGGCGGCUUAGCAAGUUAGAGGUGAAAGCCCGGAGCUCAACUCCGGAAUUGCCUUUAAAACUGCAAAGCUAGAAUCAUGGAGAGGUGAGUGGAAUUCCGAGUGUAGAGGUGAAAUUCGUAGAUAUUCGGAAGAACACCAGUGGCGAAGGCGGCUUACUGGUCCGGUACUGACGCUGAGGUGCGAAAGCGUGGGGAGCAAACAGG
rnacentral:rRNA from 1 species